rnacentral:tmRNA from 1 species
CGCACGGAUAUGAUAGUCUUUCUUAUGACACUAUCUAUACAUCCGUUCAUAUUCCGCAUAAGACGGUCUUUGCUUUUUGUCUGGGAGUUAAGGCUGUAUUUAACAGACUCGCUAACUAUUACCCUGGCUAAUUGGGGAAUAGUCAAGCUAAACUCAAAUAGAUUAGCCUAAGCAUGUAGAUCCAAAGAUCUAGAGUUUGUGGACGCGGGUUCAAAUCCCGCCGCCUCCACCA